UACGUAGGGGGCAAGCGUUGUCCGGAAUCAUUGGGCGUAAAGAGCGUGUAGGCGGCCCGAUAAGUCCGCGUGUGAAAGUCCAGGGCUCAACCCUGGAAUGCCGGUGGAUACUGUCGGGCUCGAAUCCGGAAGAGGUGAGUGGAAUUCCGUGGAUGUAGCGGUGAAAUGCGCAGAUAUCAGGAGGAACACCAAUGGCGAAGGCAGCUCACUGGGACGGUAUUGACGCUGGAGACGCGAAAGCGUGGGGAGCAAACAGG
rnacentral:rRNA from 1 species